CUACGGGCGGCAGCAGUGAGGAAUAUUGCGCAAUGGGCGAAAGCCUGACGCAGCGACGCCGCGUGGAGGAUGAAGGCCUUCGGGUUGUAAACUUCUGUUAAGUGGAAAGAAAUUCUUGUAAAUAAUACGUACAAGAGAUGACGGUACCAUUAGAGAAAGCACCGGCUAAUCUCGUGCCAGCAGCCGCGGUAAUACGAGAGGUGCAAGCGUUAUUCGGAAUUACUGGGCGUAAAGGGUGUGUAGGCGGCUUAUUAAGUCCACUGUUAAAUCUUUUGGCCUAACCAAAAGCGCGCGGUGGAAACUGGUUUGCUAGAGAACGGAAGAGAGAGGUGGAAUUCUCGGAGUAGCGGUAAAAUGCGUGGAUCUCGAGAGGAACACCAAUGGCGAAGGCAGCCUCUUGGUCCGUUUCUGACGCUGAGACACGAAAGCGUGGGGAGCAAACAGGAUUAGAUACCCGGGUAGUC
rnacentral:rRNA from 1 species